GUUUCAACAACGGAUCUCUUGGCUCUCGCAUCGAUGAAGAACGCAGCAUCCGUAGGUGAACCUGCGGACCUGUAACUCCUUUGCUCUUAACGCA
rnacentral:rRNA from 1 species